rnacentral:rRNA from 1 species
UAAAGAGUUCUAUAACUCCCAAACCCAUGUGAACAUACCUAACGUUGCCUCGGCAGGUCGCACCUACCUUGUAGCACCCUACCCUGUAGGGCCUACCCGGGAGGUGCGGGUAAGCCUGCCGGCGGCCCACCAAACUCUGUUUGAUAUUGAAUUCUGAACCUAUAACUAAAUAAGUUAAAACUUUCAACAACGGAUCUCUUGGUUCUGGCAUCGAUGAAGAACGCAGCGAAAUGCGAUAAGUAAUGUGAAUUGCAGAAUUCAGUGAAUCAUCGAAUCUUUGAACGCAUAUUGCGCCCAUUAGUAUUCUAGUGGGCAGGACCGUUCGAGCGUCAUUUCAACCCUUAAGCCUUCGUUGCUUAGUGUUGGGAGCCUACGGCAACGUAGCUCCUCAAAGUUAGUGGCGGAGUUGGUUCACACUCUAGACGUAGUAAUUUUUUAUCUCGCCUAUUAGUUGGACUAAUCCCCUGCCGUAAAACCCCCAAUUUAUCAAGGUUGACCUCGAAUCGGUUCAGACAAACUCGCUAAAUUGAAGCAUCUUAGUCAGCGAAGGAAAAGAAACCAACAGGGAUUGCCCUAGUAACGGCGAGUGAAGCGG